rnacentral:rRNA from 1 species
UACGAAGGGGGCUAGCGUUGCUCGGAAUCACUGGGCGUAAAGGGUGCGUAGGCGGGUCUUUAAGUCAGGGGUGAAAUCCUGGAGCUCAAAUCCAGAACUGCCUUUGAUACUGAAGAUCUUGAGUUCGGGAGAGGUGAGUGGAACUGCGAGUGUAGAGGUGAAAUUCGUAGAUAUUCGCAAGAACACCAGUGGCGAAGGCGGCUCCCUGGCCCGAUACUGACGCUGAGGCACGAAAGCGUGGGGAGCAAACAGG